ensembl:lncRNA
AUUUCUCUAUUCAAUCUCUCGUCUCUUCUAUCUCAAUCUCUCUAUUCUAUCUCUCGUCUCUUCUAUCUCAAUCUCUCUAUUCAAUCUCUCGUCUCUUCUAUCUCAAUCUCUCUAUUCAAUCUCUCGUCUCUUCUAUCUCUCAUCUCUUCUAUCUCAAUUUCUCUAUUCAAUCUCUUGUCUCUUCUAUCUCAAUCUCUAUUCUAUCUCUCGUCUCUUCUAUCUCAAUCUCUCUAUUCUAUCUCUCGUCUCUUCUAUCUCAAUCUCUCUAUUCUAUCUCAAUCUCUCUAUUCUAUCUCUCGUCUCUUCUAUCUCAAUUUCUCUAUUCAAUCUCUUGUCUCUUCUAUCUCAAUCUCUAUUCUAUCUCUCGUCUCUUCUAUCUCUCGUCUCUUCUAUCUCAAUCUCUCUAUUCAAUCUCUCGUCUCUUCUAUCUCAAUCUCUAUUCUAUCUCUCGUCUCUUCUAUCUCAAUUUCUCUAUUCAAUCUCUUGUCUCUUCUAUCUCAAUCUCUAUUCUAUCUCUCGUCUCUUCUAUCUCUCGUCUCUUCUAUCUCAAUCUCUCUAUUCAAUCUCUCGUCUCCUAUCUCUCGUCUCUUCUAUCUCAAUCUCUCUAUUCUAUCUCUCGUCUCUUCUAUCUCAAUCUCUCUCUUCUAUCAGUCCUAUUUUUGGUAUUUGGUAUUUUAUUAGGAUCCCUUUAGCUGUUUCAGAAGCAGCAGCUACUCUUCCUGGUAUCCACACAAAACAUGAAACAUGACAUAAUACAGAACAUUAAUAGACAAGAAUAGAAUGCGUUUCCACUGCUCAAGAUUCCAAUGGCGGCAAGCUCUACACCACUCCAACCGAUACUUGGCAUUGCGCAUGGUGAUCUUAGGCUUGUGUGAGGCUGCUCUGCCAUCGCAAACCCAUUUCAUGAAGCUCCCGACGAACAGUUAUUGUGCUGACGUUGCUUCCAGAGCAAGUUUGGAACUCGGUAGUGAGUGUUGCAUCCAAGCACAGAGGAUUUUUACAUGCUACGCACUUCAGCAUUUGACAUUGUUGCUCCUAGACAUUUCCACUUCACAAUGACAGCAGUUACAGUUGACCGGGGCAGCUCUGGCAGGGCUGAAAUUCGAUGAACUGACUUGUUGCAAAGGUGUCAUCCUAUGACAGUGCCACGUUGAAAGUCACUGAGCUCUUCAGUACGGGCCAUUCUACUGCCAAUGUUUGUCUAUGGAGAUGUUAUGGAUGUGUGCUCAAUUUGUUUUUACACCUGUCAGCAACGUGUGUGACAGGGUGUCCACAUGUCCUGUAUCUUAUAAUAUAUAUCUUAUAAUACCUCUCUGACCAUCUCUGGAUAGUGCCAAUAUAAUACUGAGAUAUUCACAGCAACUUGAUGCCAGAGCAAUGAAGAGGAGCAAUACAAGUGAACAUUUUAAACUGUAAGAAAUGUAUUUAAACAGCAUUUUACUGUAAUUACAAGGGAUUAGAGUGAGAAUGUUGGCUGUAGGGAUUUGCAUAUUAAUGAUAACUCGGUGUUUUGUAUGAAUUGCACUUCUAGAAGCCUGACAAAAGGUUUCCCCACUGGCUAUGAUGACAAAGCAAAACAUACCAACUGUACAUGGGUAAGUGUUCUACCAUUAAGAUGUUCAAGACCCGCUUCAACUCUGACCUUUUCCUUUCAUACAGUUAAUUAUUUAGGAAAUACUACCACAUAUCAGUUAAAGUGGUACAGCACUCUCACUAACAGGUGCUACAAAUAGAGCUUCUUACAAUCACGCCUUAAAAUAUGUUCAUGUCCCAGUGAUUUGUUCUACUCCCACAAUCCACUGAGUACAAAACAGCAGGAACAGCUGCUCUUUCCAUGGUAUAGACUGACCAGGUGAAUCCAGGUGAAAUCUAUGAUCCCUUAUUGAAGACACUUGUUAAAUCCACAUCAAGCAGAGUAGCUGAAGGGGAGGAGACAGGUUAAAGAAGGAUUUUUAAGCCUUGAGACAAUUGAGACAUGAUUUAAGUGCCUUUGAACAAGGUAUGUUUGUAGGUUCCAGGCACACCUGUUUGAAUGUGUCAACAACUGCAAUGCUGCUGGGUGUUUCAUGCUCAUCCGUUUCUCGUGUGUAUCAAGAAUGGUCCACCACCCAAAAGGCAACCAGACAACUUGACACAACUGUGGGAAGCAUUGGAGUCAACACGGGCCAGCAGUCCUGUGGAGCGCUUUAAACGCCUUGGAGAGUCUAUGCCCCAAUUAAUUGAGGCUGUUCUGAGGGCAAACGGGAGUGCAAAUCAUUAUAAGGAAGGUUUUUCUAAUGUUUGUACACUCAGUGUAUUGCUCCACGAUGCACCAUCAUUUACAGAAUGCUGUAGUAAAUGUAACAGCGUAGCAAUACAGUUCUUUAUUCUUAAAUUGUAUCAAAUAAAAUCAGUAAUUGCAAAAAGUGAAUAUUUAAUUAUAUAUUACACUAUGCCAACUGAUAUAUGGUGUUUUCUAUCAUUUUCACUUUAAGCCUUAACAAAGGAUUCUAAAAUGUCAAUACUACCGGGCAGAGCAGAUCAAAAGGACAUGGCUAGCCGCUCAACUGUUAAAGACACCAUGGCUCUCCUGAGGUCCGUUACAGUAGCGGUAGCUUCUCUCCUCCAUUGACAUCCUCUCUUCUCCUCUUCCACCACCACCACUUCCUCUCUCCACUCAUCUACCCAUCCACCCUCAGUACCACCCCUCCCCCAUCCAUCCACCCCUACAACCUCAGCACCACCCCUCGCCCCAUCCAUCCACCCCUACAACCUCAGCACCACCCCUACAACCUCAGAACCACCCCUCCCCCAUCCAUCCACCCCUACAACCUCAGCA